rnacentral:rRNA from 1 species
UUGACCUCGGAUCAGGUAGGAAUACCCGCUGAACUUAAGCAUAUCG